rnacentral:rRNA from 1 species
CACGUAGGGUGCGAGCGUUGUCCGGAAUUACUGGGCGUAAAGGGCGCGUAGGCGGCCUGUUAAGUCGAACGUGAAAUCCCCGGGCUCAACCCGGGAACUGCGUCCGAUACUGGCAGGCUUGAAUUCGGGAGAGGGAUGCGGAAUUCCAGGUGUAGCGGUGAAAUUCGUAGAUAUCAGGAGGAACACCAGUGGCGAAGGCGGCUUUCUGGACGGUAACUGACGCUGAGACGCGAAAGCUGGGGAGCAAACAGG